rnacentral:rRNA from 1 species
CACCAGACUCCUACGGGAGGCAGCAGUGGGGAAUAUUGCACAAUGGGGGAAACCCUGAUGCAGCGACGCCGCGUGAGUGAAGAAGUAUUUCGGUAUGUAAGGCUCUAUCAGCAGGGAAGAAAAUGACGGUACCUGAUUAAGAAGCCCCGGCUAACUACGUGCCAGCAGCCGCGGUAAUACGUAGGGGGCAAGCGUUAUCCGGAUUUACUGGGUGUAAAGGGAGCGUAGACGGCAUGGCAAGUCUGAAGUGAAAGCCCGGGGCUCAACCGCGGGACUGCUUUGGAAACUGUUAAGCUGGAGUGCAGGAGAGGUAAGUGGAAUUCCUAGUGUAGCGGUGAGAUGCAUAGAUAUUAGGAGGAACACCAGUGGCGAAGGCGGCUUACUGGACUGUAACUGACACUGAGGCUCGAAAGCGUGGGGAGCAAACAGGAUUAGAUACCCGUGUA